AGCAGCACGCUCCCGGGGGCAGACUCACGAGGACUUUCCUCACCCAGCUGAGGUAUCUCAUGUUUGAGAAUGAAGUGGCAGGAAAGCUGGCUAAGAUGUGGAGUGAGGGGGAGACAACCCUUAUGAUGGAUUCUUGGUGCUAAAAUGUGCUAGUAGCAUGUUUGAUGUCUCCCCUGAGGCCUUCAGCCAGCUUCCCUCAGGUUUGUGGCUCUUUCUAAAAUUGCCCAGACAGCAAACUUCCCGAGAUAAAGUUCACCGUGGGAACCCUUGCAGUGAGCGAGUUAAGCUCAAGCCCUAGAGAAGGAGAGGACCGGCUGCAGUGGACAGCGUCUGUCACCCCCAACUCGCACAGCCCAACCCUCCACCAGGUCCAGCCCCUAGGCCAAGGCGCCCAGAGGGACAAGGGUCCUGAGAGAUGAACCCAGCCUCACCUUGUCCUGGUGUAGCCACCAGGUUUGUUCCUGGAGAAGCCCGAGGUCGACCAGAAAGGUGGUGGCAAGCUUCCCAGGUAAGAACUUUGCUUCUGUCUUUGAACAUGUGUCUUGUAAAUGAAGACCAAUGGGACAAUUGAGCUUGUGUGAGAAGAGGAGGUGCGCAACACGCGUGUUCGCCAUCACAUUUACACCUGCAUGAGCAGAUUCUGUGGAGCUCCGCGAGGUCGAGGUGAGCAGGCUCCCUCUACACCUGAGCAGGUGGAGUCCCUGCUUCCCCUUACGACAGAGAGAAGGCAGUGGUGCUCCAGGAAACACGGAGGACUGAGGCCCCAUCACGCUCUUUCUCUGCUUGUUCCUCCUCUGUGUUAGCGAACCACACAUGCUGAAGGGAUGGGAAAGGGGCAACCCUCGUUCCUGUUCUUCCAGUCCUUCCAUGCCCAUCAGUAUGGUGGGUGGUGCUGUGUGUAUCCAGGAGUGAAAUAAUGGUGUUAUGCCACUUUCCCACUGUUCUGAUGAGAAUGAAACAUAUAUUCAUAUAGGAGCUAUGAAAUACUAGUGUGCAACUCUGGCGAAUCUGUAUACGUGUUCAAUGCUCUUCUGUUUGCACUUAAAACUGGCUUCUCACGAUAUAAAGAUGAAUGGUUGAAUUUAGGCUGGGUGGUGCUUGCCAUGGAGUUGGUUCCGGCUCAUGGCAGCCCCAUGGAUUACAGAAUAGAACUGUUCCAUACGGUUUUCUUGCCUGUAAUCUUAGUGGGAGCAGAUCGCCAGGGCUUUUCUUCCUCUAUAUCUCUGGAUGGGUUUGAACCACCAAGCUUUAGGUUACUAGUCCAGUGCAAACAGUUUGUACCACCCGGGAACCUUAGAAUUCACACUAGUCAUUUAAAUCUUUAAUUUUCCUUAACUUAGUACGACAUUAAAUAGCAAAUAGAGAAACAUCACAACAAGUCGAGAGAC